rnacentral:rRNA from 1 species
AACGAACGCUGGCGGCAUGCCUAACACAUGCAAGUCGAACGAGACCUUCGGGUCUAGUGGCGCACGGGUGCGUAACGCGUGGGAACCUGCCCUUAGGUUCGGAAUAACUCCCCGAAAGGGGUGCUAAUACCGGAUAAUGUCUUCGGACCAAAGAUUUAUCGCCUUUGGAUGGGCCCGCGUUGGAUUAGCUAGUUGGUAGGGUAAAAGCCUACCAAGGCGACGAUCCAUAGCUGGUCUGAGAGGAUGAUCAGCCACACUGGGACUGAGACACGGCCCAGAGUCGUGAGGGAGGCAGGAGUGGGGAAUAUUGGACGAUGGGCGAAAGCGGGAUACAGGAAUGCGGGUUGUGUGAAGAAGGUCUUUGGAUUGUAGAGGACUUGAAGUUGGGAGGAAGGAAAGGAAGUGAACACCGGGCUGUUAUGACGUUACCAAAAGAAUAAGCACCGGCUAACUUCGUG